CCUACGGGAGGCAGCAGUGGGGAAUAUUGGACAAUGGGCGGAAGCCUGAUCCAGCAACGCCGCGUGAGGGAUGACGGCCUUCGGGUUGUAAACCUCUUUCGCCUGUGACGAAGCGCAAGUGACGGUAACAGGUAAAGAAGCACCGGCCAACUACGUGCCAGCAGCCGCGGUAAUACGUAGGGUGCGAGCGUUGUCCGGAAUUAUUGGGCGUAAAGGGCUCGUAGGCGGUUUGUCGCGUCGGGAGUGAAAACCAGGUGCUUAACACCUGGCUUGCUUUCGAUACGGGCAGACUAGAGGUAUUCAGGGGAGAACGGAAUUCCUGGUGUAGCGGUGAAAUGCGCAGAUAUCAGGAGGAACACCGGUGGCGAAGGCGGUUCUCUGGGAAUGACCUGACGCUGAGGAGCGAAAGUGUGGGGAGCGAACAGGAUUAGAUACCCCA
rnacentral:rRNA from 1 species